rnacentral:rRNA from 1 species
CACGUAGGGGGCAAGCGUUGUCCGGAUUCAUUGGGCGUAAAGAGCUCGUAGGCGGUUCGAUAAGUCGGGUGUGAAACCUCCAGGCUCAACCUGGAGACGCCACCCGAUACUGUCGUGACUAGAGUCCAGUAGGGGAGCGUGGAAUUCCUGGUGUAGCGGUGAAAUGCGCAGAUAUCAGGAGGAACACCGGUGGCGAAGGCGCCACUCUGGGCCGGUACUGACGCUGAGGAGCGAAAGCGUGGGUAGCAAACAGG